CCUACGGGAGGCAGCAGUGGGGAAUUUUGGACAAUGGGCGAAAGCCUGAUCCAGCAAUGCCGCGUGAGUGAAGAAGGCCUUCGGGUUGUAAAGCUCUUUUGUCAGGGAAGAAACGGUGAGAGCUAAUAUCUCUUGCUAAUGACGGUACCUGAAGAAUAAGCACCGGCUAACUACGUGCCAGCAGCCGCGGUAAUACGUAGGGUGCAAGCGUUAAUCGGAAUUACUGGGCGUAAAGCGUGCGCAGGCGGUUUUGUAAGUCUGAUGUGAAAUCCCCGGGCUCAACCUGGGAAUUGCAUUGGAGACUGCAAGGCUAGAAUCUGGCAGAGGGGGGUAGAAUUCCACGUGUAGCAGUGAAAUGCGUAGAUAUGUGGAGGAACACCGAUGGCGAAGGCAGCCCCCUGGGUCAAGAUUGACGCUCAUGCACGAACGACGGUGGGGAGGACGAACGAAGGAGUAGUAUACCGUACGGUACGUACCGACCGACCCGUAACCGACUAGUCUACUAGUUGUUCGGGUUCGUUAUUAGUACGUU
rnacentral:rRNA from 1 species